AAAAACAUGGCUCUUUGGUUGUAUAAAUAUAAGGAGUCGAGCCUGCCCGGUGAAAAUUUUUAACGGCCGCGGUACUCUGACCGUGCAAAGGUAGCAUAAUCAUUUGCCUUAUAAUUGAAGGCUGGUAUGAAUGGUUUGACGAGAACAACACUGUCUCCCUUUUAUUUUCAAGAAUUUAACUUUUAGGUGAAGAGGCCUAAAUUUUAUUGAAGGACAAGAAGACCCUGUCGAGCUUAAAAGAUAGCAUAGAGUCUUAUAUACUUUUAAAUGAAUUUUUCUAUUAAAGCUUUUUAGUUGGGGCGACUAAGGAACAAAAAAAGCUUCUUGUUAUUAGUAGACAGUCAUGUUUAGAUCCAGUAAUAACCGAUCAGAGAAAUUAGUUACCGCAGGGAUAACAGCAUAAUCUCUCUUGAGAGAUCUAAUCGAAAGAGGGGGUUGUGACCUCGAUGUUGGACUAGAAUAUCCUAAAGAUGCAGAAGUCUUUAAGGGUCGGUCUGUUCGACCGUUAAAAUUCUACGUGAUCUGA
rnacentral:rRNA from 1 species